rnacentral:misc_RNA from 1 species
UUCAACUGAAGGAGUUGUGCCAGUAUUAUGGGAGCAAUUAAAAAAGGGACUGAAAGCUGGAAAUAUAGUUGACGACUUACUGACAGGAGCUUUAAAAAACCUCUCGACCAGCACUGAGGGCUUCUGGUCUGCAACAGUACAAGCUGGAGGAGUGGAUAUACUUGUUAAACUACUGAAUAAUGGACAGCCAAGUACUCAGGCAAAUGUCUGCUUUCUCCUUGCUUGUAUGAUGAUGGAGGAUUCUUCUGUUUGUUCAAGAGUCUUAGCUGCAGAGGCCACCAAGCAACUUCUUAAACUACUUGGACCUGGCAAUGAAGCCUCAGUUAGAGCAGAAGCUGCAGGCGCUCUUAAAUCUCUUUCUGCCCAAAGCAAAGAUUCCAGGAAGGAAAUAGCAAAUUCUAAUGGUAUUCCUGCUUUGAUAAAUGCUACCAUAGCUCCUUCAAAAGAAUUCAUGCAGGGUGAG